GCUGGGCAUGGUGGCGAACGCCUGUAGUCCCAGCUACUUGGGAGGCUGAGGUGGGAGAAUCGCUUGAGUCUGGGAGGUCAAGGCUGCAGUGAGCUGUGACUGCCACUGCACUCCAGCCUGGGCAACAGAGAGAGACCCUGUCUCAA
ensembl:misc_RNA Metazoa_SRP Metazoan signal recognition particle RNA